rnacentral:lncRNA from 1 species
CAUUAAAGUAAGUUGUCUUUACAUGUUAGUUGCUUCUAAAAAAUAUCAUUCAUCAUGUAAGAGGUAUUGUUGUUGGUUUUUGCUUGAUUCUAUUGUUUGAAGUCAUUUGUAGGAAUUGUCCAUUUGAUGGCUCUCGAGUUCCUUUUUUUUUUUUUUUUUUUUUUUUAGCAUCUUGAAAAUAAUAAAGCUUCUUGAUUUAUUAUUGAAAUUAAUAAAAAGCUAUAUUUUAUGGUUGGGGAAGGAAAUAAAAAGGAUAUAUGAUGUUUACAUAUUUUUAAUUUGUUUGUCUUAGGCCUUAUUCAUUAGCUAUUGGAGUAAUUAUAAUAAUUCACUUUUCCUCAAUUAUACUUGUCGACUGAAUCAAGAGGUCAUUAAUUUCAUAAUAGCGUUGGUAUAAAGUUGUGAUUUCCUGUAUUUUAAUGUGUGUGUGUUUGUACACUAUUUGCUGUUAUGUACUAGCAAUAAAACCUUAUAAGGAAGUAUAAUUUUAUAAAGUUAGUUACUUUUGUUUUGCGCAUGUUUUCUUCUUAGCUUUUAAUUUUUGGAAUUAAUGAAUUAAUCUAAUGUUCUUAAUUUUUGUUAGUGAUUUUCGUUCAUCUCAUAUAAUUUCAAGGGUUCCAUAUGAAUUCAUUGAUUCCAUGGAAUGUUAUAUUUAUUUUAAUUUUUUUGUUUCAGAUUGGAAGAUAUCGUUUCCGAAGUGAAAAUACUAAAAUUUUCGAUGUUAAUUAAACUGUGUUAUCUUCAGGUAUUUUAUUUAUUUUAAAUAUUUCCUUCAAUUUUAUUAGGUUCAUAGCUUGUUCUGUAUUUUUUUUCCAUGAAGUUUCUUUUAUAGUAUUUAUCAUUUAACUACUACUGUUACGUGUUUGCACAUUUGGGCAACCCAUCGGGACUCACAGUCAACUUAUGCUGAACCACGUGGCACUCAAGUCGAGGUGAUUUGCAUACCCGAGGCCCACAAUCGAGGUCCACAAAAGGUGAGGCCCAUCUAUCAUUGCCUCUUGAGGAGCUACCGAAGCCCAUAUGCCGAGGCCCUUUGAAGGUGGACGAGGCCCUGUUGGCCGAAGCUCUGUAACCGAGGUAGCAGCCUCCGAAUCAUAAAGCAGCAUCUUCCAUAGAUGCUUUUCCCAAGAGAUUCUCAGCACAAAGAUCUUAUUUGAAUGAUUGAUAGGACGUUUGUCAUGAGUGUAAAUGUUAAGUCUUAUCACUAGUAGAGGUGGCUCUGCCAAUCAAUAAAUGUAUAGCAGGCUAGGUGUGGUUGAGCUUACAGUUUGACAUGUAAAUUAACCGGAUGAGGCCACGUGUACCCCGAACCAAAGGUUACGAUCUAACUUGUGACACUAUAAAUGCUCCCCCAUGUACCCCAUACAAAGGCUAAUGCAAGAAUCAAUACAAAAAAUCAUACUUUACUCAACUCUCUA